AGCACCCCCUCAACUUCUAUGAUUAAACAUUUUUUUCUUAGAAGGUGGGAAAGUAACCGUCUGGAGGCUAUUGAAAUCAGCUGUUCAUUUACCAAAGUGACUUGAAGCUGUAGAACAACAGAGUAAAGAGUAACAAAACAUUCUCUCAGGAUUGAAUCACCAUCCAUCCUGGUCUUGCUGUCCAGGGAUUGAGACACUCUGUCUAAACAAAGAAGAGGUAACUGGAUCCUCUUACACUGAAGAGCAGAUGAACUUCCCACUGUCUGGUUAUAAGCUCAGACUGCUGUUGUAUGAUCACCAUUGCUGAGAUUUUAAAGGAAAUUGAGAACCUCACCCAGUUAAUAGGAGUCCAGCCCUGGAUCCUGAAGGAGAGCAGAUCUGAGAGAGAGCAGGUAAGAACCAUGAGAGCAUGAGAAGAGAAGGCUCAUGGGGAACCUCAUUCCAGUACUUAAAGGAUGUCUACAAAGAGGAUGGAGGCCCGUUCUUGACAAGGAGCUACAGAGAAG